rnacentral:lncRNA from 1 species
CCGGAACAAAGCUGCUUGCUUUCUCUCGCUUCUGCUUUGGAAAUGCAGGCAAAGUGUCUACCAAAACAGUCUUCACAAAAAAGCACAACUGCUGAAGCCUUGCAAAGGUCAGCGCCCCUGCCGUGACGUUUAUAGACAUUCACUGUACAGCUCCUGGAGGGACAGCUGCUGGAAUCACCUGCCUCCUGGAGGGAGCAAGCAGCUAACAUCUCUUCUGGGAAACCACAGUCAUAAAAAGGACAGAAAGAGUUUGAGCUAAUAUUUUCCACGUGAUCUGGAUUAAAGAAAUGAAGUGCUAUUUUUUCCUGCUCCAGAAACUUUUACAGAAUGGGAACUCAAAUAUGGCUGAAGCUUAAGAGAAUGGCAACACGUUGAAAUGUCACUCCUUUUGAGAAGUCUUGUUUUACUUCUUGUCUAAGAUGCAUCUUUAAAAAUACUUCAAUGGCAAACAUCCUAAUUUAAAAGAGUCAACUUUUGGAAACAUGUAGAAAUAAAAUUCUAAGUACCAUAUUCUUUAAUUCAGCCUUGGCUGGAAAGUCUAUUUCAAACAGAAGCCACAAGCCUCAAGCAAUUAAAUAGGAACCAUAGGAGAAUGAGAGAUUACUGACCUAGAUGUAUGCAGUGAGAAGACAGUUCCACAACAGUCCUUUUAGGAAGACGAGCAAACACCUACAUACCAGACUAUAAAACCUGGGUGAGGGCCCAGGUGCGGUGGCUCACGCCUGUAAUCCCAGCACUUUGGGAGGCCGAGGCGGGUGGAUCGUGAGGUCAAGAGAUUGAGACCAUCCUGGCCAACAUGGUGAAACCCCAUUUCUACUAAAAAUACAAAAAUUGGCCGGGCGCGGUGGCUCACGCUUGUAAUCCCAGCACUUUGGGAGGCCGAGGCGGGUGGAUCAUCAGGUCAGGAGAUCGAGACCAUCCUGGCUAACACGGUGAAACCCUGUCUCUACUAAAAAUACAAAAAAAAUUAGCCGGGCGAGGUGGCGGGCGCCUGUAGCCCCAGCUACUCAGGAGGCUGAGGCAGGAGAAUGGCGUGAACCUGGGAGGCGGAGCUUGCAGUGAGCCGAGAUCGUGCCACUGCACUCCAGCCUGGGCGACAGAGCAAGACUCUGUCUCAAAAAAAAAAAAAAAAAAAAAAAUACAAAAAUUAGCUGGGCACGGCGCGCACGCCUGUAGUCCCAGCUACUCGGGAGGCUGAGGGAGGAGAAUCACUUGAACCUGGGAGGCGGAGGUUGCAGUGUGCCGAGAUGGCGCCACUGCACUCCUGCCUCGCAACACAGCGAGGCUCCGUCUCAAAAAAAAUCAACAACAAAAAACCUGGGUGAGAAAUAUAAUUAUUCUCUAUUUUAUAUAUUUCUAUAUCCACAUUCUAUCAUAUAAAAUUGAAUUUCUAUCUGGGUCCGCUUGAUUAAAAGGGCAAAAAACUUUCCGAUAAUGUUGAAAUCUUUGUUUCAAUAGUUCCAAGGACUGAUCUGUAACUGAGAACAAAUUGUUUGUUGUAGAAAACUGGUCACUUAAAACUAUGAAAUACGCUUGUCACAGGAAGCUGAUUUUACCCAUUGACCCAAUCAUCACAACCUCACUUUAAUUGAACUUGAAUUCAAUCAGUAUAUAAAGGACCAUGCAGAUUUUAGAAACAAAGGCCAAAUAACUUCUCUGUUAGAAUUUAUUCUUAAGAGGGAAAGAAGUUCCCCCAAUACGUUAGCUUGUGAUAGAACUCAGAAACUUGAUCGAUACUAUGUCUUACCUAAGUCAUUGUUUUUUGUUAUAGCAUUAGCUGCUCUGGUUCGUGGUCCCUGCUGUGUAAACUGAUAUCCAAAUUUAAGGAUAUUUGUAUUUUCCUCAAGCAUCUUGGCCAUUUCCAAUUCUACAGCUGUCCCCAACUGCUGCCUCUGGAGUAAUUAGAAAAAAAGAACAAUAUUAAUAAACUAGAUCAAAAUACUUUUCAAGGUAAAUUAAGACAUUCAGGCACAUGCUAAUUCUUUGAUCUCUUUAAAUGUUCCCAAUUCCUACAACAUAUACAUAGUUCAGUAGUUCCAAGUACUGAUUUGUAACUGAGAACAAAUUGUUUGUUGUAGAAAACUGGUCACUUAAAGCUAUGAAAUGUUUGUCACAGGAAGGGGAUUUUACCCAUUGACCCAAUCAUCACCACAGCCUCACUGGAACUUUAUACACACACACACACACACACACACACACACACACACACACUAAACUUUUUAAAGUUCAGUAAUAUGAUCAUAUAGACAUCAAAAAAGUGUGAAUUACUAUAAUGACAUAUCACUUCAUACCCACUAGGAUAAGUAUAAUAAAAAAGAUAGAUAAUAACAAGUGUUGGCAAGAAUGUGGAAAAAUGGGGACAUUGCUGAGAGGAAUGUAAAAUGGUACAGCUACUGUGGAAAACUGGCUGCUGCUCAAAAAGUUAAACAUAGAGUUACCAUGUGACCCAGCAAUACACUCCUAGCUAUAUACUGAAGAGAAAUGAAAAUCUAUGUCCAUGUUAGAGUUUGUAAUGAAUGUUCACAGCAGCAUUAUUUCUAGUGGCCCGUAUGUGGACACACCCCAAAUGGAAUAGAAUAUUAUUCAGUCAUAAAAGAAUGAGGUCCUGAUGUAUGCUACAAUACAGAUGAACCUCCAGAACAUUAUGCCAGGUGAAAGAAGCCAGGCACAAAAAGAUCAAAUAUUGUUUGAUUCCACAGAUAUAAGCUGUCCAGAAUAGGCAAAUCCUAAGAAACAGAAAGUGGAUGAGUGAUUGCCAGAGCCUGGUGAGAGGGGUGAAUGGGGAGUGACUGCUAAUGGGUAUGGGGUUUCUUUUUGGGGUAAUGAAAAUGUUCUGGAAUUAGUGGUAAUGGCUGCAAAACUCUACAAAUAUACUAAAAACCAUUUAGCUGUAUACUUUAAGAAAAUGAAUUUUACUGUAUGUAAUUAUAUCUCAAUAAAAAAAUGAAAAACAUGGAUUAUGAAGCACUGGGUUAAAUUUUAAGACAUAAUCCUCUUUUCCACCUUCAUAGUUUACAAAAUGUAUUUACUUUGAAGGACUGAAGGAGACAUUUAACAAAUAUUUUUUCAAAUAAAUGGAGUUAUUUUUUCAAAUAAAAAAAUUAAUAGCUACUCUGGAUGGAAACAUUUCUAACAUGUAUCUCUCUGCCUUUUACAAAAACCCUACAAUGUGGACCUUGCCAGCACAGAGCUGAAAAAUUGGAAGGUGGACUAGGUCACAUGUAAGAGUCCUCUCAGUUCAAACUAGAUAGCCAUCUAAAUUCUCUUAAAAUGAUCUAGGGAGAGUAUACACCUUUACAUUGUAUACACUGUUAUAUACACUGAGUUAAUAUUCUAGAUACCCCAAAUGUCAGCUCUCCUUUCAGCCCAGCAUCUUCCAACAGGGAUCCCUGACAGCCCGCCUCCCAUCCCCAUCCUGAGUCGCCAAGCCCUACACAGCAGCGUGGGCUGUAGCUUCCUCGACGUUAUUAUUGUAGAACAUUGACCUGAUUGUCAAUCUUGAGCUCUGCCAGGGUUUCAUUAUCUCUUAACGCAUCAAUCAGUGCCAGAAUCCCAACUCCCGUGAUAAAGUUGGACUCCACAUUUAAGCUCUUCAAAGUUUUGUUCACUUUCAGCAUUUCUGCAAAAGCCUAGAAAUUAGAGAAAAUAUUAAGAGAUUAAAAUUUGAUACAGUACCUACUACAUAUUGUACAUGCCAUAAAUAAAUACAUUAAUUAACUGCCUUAAUGUUUGUCAUUAGUUGUUUCAGUUUGACACAGUAGCCCAUAGCUCUCACAUGUACAGUUGUCCCUCAGUAUUUGUUGGGGGUUGGUUCCAGGACCAUCUGCAGAUACCAAAAUCUUCAGAUGCUCAAGUGCCUUAUAGAAAAUGGCAUAGUAUUUGCAUAUAACCUUCACACAUGCUCCUGUAUACUUUUCAUUACCUCUAGGUUACUUAAUAUACCUAAUACAAUGCCUACACAUCACUUCAUUUUUGUGGAUUCAACAUAGUACCUGGCAUACAGCAAAUUCAGAUUUUGCUUUUGGAAAUUCAUAGAAUUUUUUUCCAAAUAUUUUUGAUCUGAAGUUGGUUGAACCCAUGGAUGACUGUAUCUACUUUUCUUUCUUUUUUUUUUUUUUGAGACAGGGUCUUGCCCUGUCACCCAGGCUGGAGUGCAGUGGCAGGAUCACAGCUCACUGCAACCUCUGCCUCCUGGGCUCAAUUGAUCUUCCCACCUCAGCUUCCUGAGUAGCUGAGACUACAGUUGUGUGCCACCAUGCCCGGCUAAUUUUUGUAUUUUUUGUAGAGAUGGGGUUUCACCAUGUUGCCCAGGCUGGUCUCAAACUCCUGGGCUCAAGCAAUCCACCCACCUCGGCUUCCCCAAGUGCUGGGAUUACAGGUGUGAGCCACUACACCUGGCCUGUACCUAUUUUUCAUAUGUACCCAGUCAUAAUCUUUUGAUUUUUUGGUCACAUGUAAUUCCCCGUUGGUGACAUUCUCUACUCCUCAUUCCCUACUUCAUGCUUCUUUCUUCUGUCUCUCUCACUCUUUCAGUUUCUGUGUUAGACCAACUUCAUCAAUGUCGCUGUAACAUCUUUUCUUAUUUGGGUCUUGCUGUAGCUGGAUCAUGUGAAGCCAAAAUGAGGGUAAAUUAUGUACUAAUUUCCAAGGCAGGGGCCAAAAGAAAUGGUCAAGGCAGAAGGCCAGAAAAGAACACAGAUAACCAGAACCAGAAGAGCACAAAGGCCAUUGAGAAGAAGGGGCUAAUAAAAUAUUAAAUUCCUCAAGUAAUGGUAUGUCUUCAAUCUGCUUCUAUUUCAUUUCUCAUAGGAUACAGUACAGUGUUAGACAUUUGACUCAGUGCUUAAUAAGUACCAUAUUGAUUAAUUAACAGAAGCCUACAAGUGAAAAAAGAAAGAGGAGGGAGACUGGGAAGGAAAGAAAAAGAGACAGAGGUAGGAAGAGAGAAGAAGGGAAGGAAGGAGGGGAAGGAAAGAGAGAGAAAAAAGAACAAUGAUCAUGAGUUUAUAUAAAACAGCCCCUUAGAGGGAUCAAAAGCAAGGUUAAACUACAGAAAAUAUGGGUAAGACCAAGCUUAAAGUUAAAGGAAAGGCAAUAGGGCGUAGAGAUACUAAAAAAACUGUGGCUGGUAUCUACAUACUUGUCCUUUCUAUUAGCAACAACUAGCUAUGUGACCUGGAACAAAUCCCUUAUCCAUACAUGUAUUCGAAUAUUACUGAUGGUCUAUUAUUUGAUUAGCACUGUCCUAGAGAUUCAGAGAUAAAACACAUUGGUCCCUGCCUGGCAGAAUGUUCAUUCUAGCUGGGGAGGGACACAGAUAAUAAAAGUAAGCAAAGUGCAAUGUUAGAGGGUAAAAAGAAAAAAGGCACAAUAGGGUAGAUGGGGAAUACUGGGGGUGGGAAUGGGGUUGGUAUUUUAUAUAGCACGGUCAGGAAAAGCCUCAACUAGAAGGUGACAUUUGAGCAAAGAGUCAAAGUGAUAAGACAAAGCUAAGUGGAUUAUUUUAGGAAGAAAGUUCAAGGCAGAAGGAACAAAUGUACAGGCCCUGAUUUGGGAGUCCACAUGGCAUGCUGAAGAAGGCUGUAUGGCUAGAGUAGAAUGAAAGAAAGGGCAAGUAAAUGAGAUGAAGUCCACUCAUGUGAAGCCUUAUAAGGCCACUGAAAGAUUUUUAUUUUUACUCUUAAUGAGAUGGGAAGCUGCUAGAGGGUUAUCCGAAUAGGAAUGAGGUCAUUUAACUUAAGUUUUAAAAGAAUCACUCUUGGUGCUAUGUAAAGAACUGACUUUGGGGUAGGUAAAAUAGAUGAAGGUAACCCAAUUAGGAGGCUGUUGCAAUAAUCCAGGUGGGAAAAGAUGGUGGCUUGGGUCAAGGUGGUAGUUGUGAAAAUGGUGAGAAGUGGUUGGAUUCUGAAAUAUUUUGAAGAUAGGGCCAAAGGUAGGUUUAAGUUGCAAGAAAGGGAUGUCGAGAAUGAUUCCAUUAGUUUUUUGUUUUUUUUUUUUUUUUUGCUGGGCGUGGUGGCUCACGCCUGUAAUCCUAGCACUUUGGGAGGUUGAGGUGGGCGGAUCACAAGGUCAGGAGCUCGAGACCAGCCUGGCCAAUAUGGUGAAACCACAUCUCUACUAUAAAUACAAAAAUUAGCCAGGCGUGGUGGCGCAUGCCUGUAAUCCCAGCUACUCAGGAGGCUGAGGCAGGAGAAUCGCUUGAACCCGGGAGGCGGAGGUUGCAGUGAGCCGAGAUUGCGCCACUGCACUCUAGCCGGGGCAACAGAGUGAGACGCUGUCUCAAAAAAAAAAAAAAAAAAAAUUUUUUUUUUUUGUUUGCCUGAGCAAUGAAAGAUUGAAAUUGCAUUUAGUAAGAUAGAAAACAGCAGAGAAAAGCAGGCACAGGAUGGAAGUCAGGAGUUUGAGGACUUACAUGUAAGAUGUCCAUUAGACAUCCAAGUAAAGCUGCUGAGGAGGUAGCUGGACAUGAAUACGGAGUUCAGGAGAGAGAUACAAACUGUAGAUAAUAACACUGGGAGUCAUCAGCAAGUAUAUGAAGAUAAUAUAUAUAUUUCUGAGAUUACCCAGAAAGUCAGUGUAGACUGAGAAAAGAAGGACCACGUUCUGGGCCAUUCCAAUAUUUAGAAGUUGAAGAGAUAUGGAGAAACC